ensembl:lncRNA
CAGGGGGCGCCCUAAAGCAACGACUGACGAAAGACGGAGCGCAAGAAUGAAGUAUUGCAACUAAAAGAAGCGCAGAGAGAAAUUUCCGUUCCCAACAAUAUCUGAGUAAAUGUUUUCUACUAAAUACAUAAAUAAAAUAAAAUGAAUCAUUUUGUGUGAAGGAUUGAACUCAGAAAAGAAAAAAAAACAUGAGCUUUACGUUUGGAGACACUGCUCGGUCACAUAUGCAGCAGCACAGCAGUGAUGAAAUGAUCACAAAGCAGCAUUAAGUGUUUUAUGAUCCUAAAGAAAUAAAUGAAAAUAAAGACGCGUGCACCAGAGAGCUUUAAUAAAGCGCGUCGUUAGGAACACACAGGUACGUUUUCUUCACGCUUCUGCUCUGAGUGCACACCGCUCGCGCGUGCACGUGCGUACGGAUGCGUGUGCGCGCAGGCGGAGGAUCGCCGCGGAGCCGUACCGUGUAGCAGGCACAAGCCGCUGGGCGCGCAGGAGAAGCCGCAAAAAAAUCCAGCAGCCGCUACUUGAAGCUGCCAGGAGCGCAGAGAACGCGUCGGAACUUCAGUGCACACGUUUCUGCAGCAAAAUGAAACGGAUCCUUCUUCUUAUCGAUGAUGCUGAACACAGUAAGCAGAGGCAUGCUGGUGCAUUUAAGGCAUGUUAGCAUAGUGAUGUUAACAUGGAGACUGUUUGAAUGGAAAUUUCUGUUCAAAGUAGCAUUAACGAUCACUGUGUGAUGCAUUUAAAUAACAGGCAGUUAUUAGAGAAACAAAGGAGAAAUAAAGGAAGCACACAGCCUGAGUAAUUCACUGACAUUCGCAGGAAACCUGAGAUAUAAAAGUACCAACUUUAUUCAGAACUGUGGAUGACGAACAGCCAUCACAGGCCGUCAGCAUUUCCCUCCUUCCUCCCCGUCACUCUCUUUUUUCCUUUAAACCUUUAAGGCAUGCCGAGUCUUGGAAACCGAACCAAACGGCAUUCCUCGCGUGAAUCUUAAACAGUCGAGGGACGGAGUCUGAAAAUAAUGAGACGGUACAACAGAGUUUAGACUCGGAGGUGUUCGGCCUCUUCGCGCGAGCGCCGCGGUCCCAGUUCUGUCAGCUCCCAUCAUCGAGAGAGAAACUGACAACGAGAAGAAAAUUACAAGAAUAUCUCUCGCCGGAUUUUUUUUUUCCUGAAGUGCGAGACGUAAUCAAAGGCCUGUCUGAAAUCCUCAGCAAUGUGUGGGACGUGUGAGACGUCGGUAAGCUGGUGGAGAUGUGUGUGUUUUUAAUGCAUGCAAGGUGAAAGUGAAGAAUUUUUACAGCACUGUGCAUAUUUGUGGUUUCUCUGACCACAUCUGAAGCUUUUAAAGCAGAAAUGUAGUUUAUUUAUAAUUUAUUUAUAUUUAUUAAAUAAUUUAUUGUUUAUUUCCCAAUAUUUUCCUGGUAUUUAUUGCUAAAUCAUCAACAACUAACACACUUGCUGAAUUAUUUUUAUGUAUAAAGAUGAAAGUUUAUUGAAUUUACGUGCAUAUUUUGCCAUGUGUUGGAUUACAUGCAUGUAGCAAUGAACUUAUUUAGCAAAAAAGAAUAAAAUAUGAAGGAAUUCAGUUAAAGAUUAGAUUAAAUAAAGUAUUCUGCUUUGGCCUUUUUAGUGUUUUCAUUCAAACUUAUUCAUUAAUAAAAUGUAAUGUAAUCAUAUACUAGAUGUAGCUUUAACAACAACCAUCAAAUAAACACAGCCUGAUUAUAACUAAUCUAAUUAAAAUGUAUUUGUAAUGAUUUUGCGUGAUCGUGUCUUUAUUUCAUUAUUGCCUUCACCUGGAACCUAUAACGAGCUCACUGGUGAUUAAAUAAUUUGGCUUUUAUUCUAGAAACAAAGCAGCCCCCAUCCAGACUAUGGGUGCCCCCCCCCACGUAUCCUCGCUGGUGCUCUCACCCCCACCCCCUGUGGCUCUUCUCGGGGUUAGCUGGAGUUGAGAGUCAACUUUGUCCUGUCUCCAUGUCUAGCCUGGCACCCAGCGCCGCUCACUCCAGGGCUGCCCCCUCCCUCUCUCUCACUCUCGCUGUCUCACUGUUGUGGCUGAAGACAGCAAACGCCCGCCACGUCCAAUUUCACUCCACCGGCGUUUGGCCGCGAGCCGCAGACACGCCGGUGACAGGGGUCGCUUAGGUCCAAAGCUGAGCGGGUCAGUUUAGCCGAGCUGGGCGGCCAGACAGACAGACAGAAGGAGGAAAACACGGCUGGGGUGGAUGUCUGAGUCUGCAG